rnacentral:rRNA from 1 species
GAUGAACGCUGGCGGCGUGCCUAAUACAUGCAAGUCGAGCGAAUGGAUUGAGAGCUUGCUCUUAUGAAGUUAGCGGCGGACGGGUGAGUAACACGUGGGUAACCUGCCCAUAAGACUGGGAUAACUCCGGGAAACCGGGGCUAAUACCGGAUAACAUUUUGAACCGCAUGGUUCGAAAUUGAAAGGCGGCUUCGGCUGUCACUUAUGGAUGGACCCGCGUCGCAUUAGCUAGUUGGUGAGGUAACGGCUCACCAGGGCAACGAUGCGUAGCCGACCUGGGAGGAGGACCGGCCACACUGGGACUGAGACACGGCCCAGACUCCUACGGGAGGCAGCAGUAGGGAAUCUUCCGCAAUGGACGAAAGUCUGACGGAGCAACGCCGCGUGAGUGAUGAAGGCUUUCGGGUCGUAAAACUCUGUUGUUAGGGAAGAACAAGUGCUAGUUGAAUAAGCUGGCACCUUGACGGUACCUAACCAGAAAGCCACGGCUAACUACGUGCCAGCAGCCGCCGUAA